GUUUCUUCCAACUGCGACUCAGAAGUUAGUACAACAGACACCAGCCCAGGAUCUCCUCUUGACAAAUACGAGCUUGGAAGAAAGCUGGGAAAGGGACACACUGGCACUGUCUACUUGGCAACACGCAAAUCUGAUGGAAAAAAGGUUGCCCUGAAAUUCGUUCUUGAUUCUGACAUUCC